rnacentral:rRNA from 1 species
AUUGAACGCUGGCGGCAGGCCUAACACAUGCAAGUCGAGCGGAUGAAGGGAGCUUGCUCCUGGAUUCAGCGGCGGACGGGUGAGUAAUGCCUAGGAAUCUGCCUGGUAGUGGGGAUAACGUCCGGAAACGGGCGCUAAUACCGCAUACGUCCUGAGGGAGAAAGUGGGGGAUCUUCGGACCUCACGCUAUCAGAUGAGCCUAGGUCGGAUUAGCUAGUUGGUGGGGUAAAGGCCUACCGAGGCGACGAUCCGUAACUGGUCUGAGAGGAUGAUCAGUCACACUGGAACUGAGACACGGUCCAGACUCCUACGGGAGGCAGCAGUGGGGAAUAUUGGACAAUGGGCGAAAGCCUGAUCCAGCCAUGCCGCGUGUGUGAAGAAGGUCUUCGGAUUGUAAAGCACUUUAAGUUGGGAGGAAGGGCAGUAAGUUAAUACCUUGCUGUUUUGACGUUACCAACAGAAUAAGCACCGGCUAACUUCGUG